rnacentral:rRNA from 1 species
UAUUGCACAAUGGGCGCAAGCCUGAUGCAGCGACGCCGCGUGGGGGAUGAAGGCCUUCGGUUUGUAAACUCCUUUCGCUAUCGACGAAGCCACUUGUGGUGACGGUAGGUAGAUAAGAAGCACCGGCUAACUACGUGCCAGCAGCCGCGGUAAUACGUAGGGUGCAAGCGUUGUCCGGAAUUACUGGGCGUAAAGAGCUCGUAGGUGGUUUGUCGCGUCGUCUGUGAAAUCCCGGGGCUUAACUUCGGGCGUGCAGGCGAUACGGGCAUAACUUGAGUGCUGUAGGGGAGACUGGAAUUCCUGGUGUAGCGGUGAAAUGCGCAGAUAUCAGGAGGAACACCGAUGGCGAAGGCAGGUCUCUGGGCAGUUACUGACGCUGAGGAGCGAAAGCAUGGGUAGCGAAC